UACGUAGGGGGCAAGCGUUGUCCGGAUUUAUUGGGCGUAAAGCGCUCGCAGGUGGUUCGAUGCGUCGUGCGUGAAAGACCCCGGCUCAACUGGGGAGGGUCGUGCGAUACGGUCGAACUGGAGGCCAGUAGGGGGAUGCGGAAUUCCGGGUGUAGUGGUGGAAUGCGUAGAGAUCCGGAGGAACACCAGCGGCGAAGGCGGCAUCCUGGACUGGUCCUGACACUCAGGAGCGAAAGCGUGGGAGCGAUCCGG
rnacentral:rRNA from 1 species